AAUCAACGCUGGCGGCGUGCCUCAGACAUGCAAGUCGAACGAUUAAAGCUCUCUUCGGAGAGUGCAUAAAGUGGCGCACGGGUGAGUAACACGUAAGUAAUCUACCUUCGAGUGGGGAAUAACGUCCGGAAACGGACGCUAAUACCGCAUAACGCAGCGGCAUCGCAAGAUGACAGUUGUUAAAGAUUUAUCGCUUGAAGAGGAGCUUGCGGCAGAUAGCUUGUUGGUAAGGUAACGGCUUACCAAGGCUACGAUCUGUAUCCGGUCUAAGAGGACGGUCGGACACACUGACACUGAAUAACGGGUCAGACUCCUACGGGAGGCAGCAGUCGGGAAUUUUGGGCAAUGGGGGAAACCCUGACCCAGCAACGCCGCGUGAAGGAUGAAGU
rnacentral:rRNA from 1 species